GACGAACGCUGGCGGCGUGCUUAACACAUGCAAGUCGAACGGAGUGGCGAACGGAUGAGUAACACGUGGGUGACCUGCCAUGCACUUCGGGAUAAGCCUGGGAAAAUGGGUCUAAUACCGGCUAGUUGGGGAUGGGCCCGCGGCCUAUAAGCUUGGUGGUGGGGUAAUUGCCUACCAAUGCGGCGACGGGUAGCCGGCCUGCUAGGGUGGACUGCCACCUUGGGACUGAGAUACGGCCCAGACUCCUACGGGGGGCAGCAGUGGGGAAUAUUGCACAAUGUGCGGAAGCCUGAUGCAGCGACGCUGCGUGGGGGAUGACGGCCUUCGGCUUGUAAACUCCUUUCACCAUCUACGCGGUAGAUGGAGAAGAAGCACCGGCUAACUACGUGCCAGCCGCCGCGGUAAUAC
rnacentral:rRNA from 1 species